ACUCCUACGGGAGGCAGCAGUGGGAAUAUUGCACAAUGGGCGCAAGCCUGAUGCAGCCAUGCCGCGUGUAUGAAGAAGGCCUCGGGUUGUAAAUGUACUUUCAGUCAGUGAGGAAGGUGGGUAUGUUAAUAGCAUACUCAUUUGACGUUAGCUGCAGAAGAAGCACCGGCUAACUCCGUGCCAGCAGCCGCGGUAAUACGGAGGGUGCGAGCGUUAAUCGGAAUUACUGGGCGUAAAGCGCAUGCAGGCGGCCUGUUAAGUCAGAUGUGAAAGCCCGGGCUUAAGCCUCGGAAUUGCAUUUGAAACUGGCAGGCUAGAGUCUUGUAGAGGGGU
rnacentral:rRNA from 1 species